rnacentral:rRNA from 1 species
AUUGAACGCUGGCGGCAGGCUUAACACAUGCAAGUCGAGCGAGCGGCGGACGGGUGAGUAAUGUCUGGGAAACUGCCUGAUGGCGGGGGAUAACUACUGGAAACGGUAGCUAAUAACGCAUACCCUCAGAUGUGCCAAGAUGGGAUUAGCUAGUCGGGGGGGUAAUGGCUCACCUAGGCGACGCUCCCUAGCUGGUCUGAGAGGAUGAACAUGAACACUGGAACUGAGACACGGUCCAGAUGCCGACGGGAGGCAGCAGGGGGGAAUAUUGGAGAAUGGGAGCAAGCCUGAUGCAGCCAUGCCGCGUGUGGGAAGAAGGCAUGAGGGUUGUAAAGCACUUGCAGCGAGGAGGCGUUACUCGCAGAAGAAGCACCGGCUAACUCCGUGCCAGCAGCCGCGGUAAUAC